ensembl:lncRNA
GUGCUCCCCUACUGCUCAGGUGCAGCUGCGGCUCCCACGCCAGAUCACGGCACAGGGGGCGGAGCAUCUCUGCUCAUAUGGCCCGCCCCUCCAUCGUCAACUGCGUGUUGGAGGCGGAGCUUCUGCACGCGGCCCUGAGCUGAGGUGUGGGGCCGCCAUUUUGCACCAGGGUUCCUGGUCGGAGGUGUGUGGUACGAGGUCUCUGCACGCGGUGCCUGGGUAGCCGGCCGACUAGACUCAGCACAGGGGAAACAAGGUGAGGGCUCAGCGGGAAGAAGAGGACAAGAGCUCAUGGAACACUGGAUCUGCCGGACCUUGAUCUUGGAUGUCCAGCCCCCAGAGCUGUGAAAGAUGGCAGGUGGACCUCUUGGUGUGAGCCCUGGGACCUGACAGGCAGGACUUCAGCCAUGGCUCAGCUCCUUACCAGCUGUGGGGUGAGACUUUGGAUGGGUUACGGAAGUCCUCUAAGCUUUAGUGUCUUGGCUGUGAAAUGGAUUUGUUGGGAGGCCUUCAUGAACUGACUUCUGGUAAGUGCUGGGUUCACAGCCUCGAACGAUGGGUAUCUGAUAAAUGAUGGCUGUUGUUGCUAUUAUCCCGUCUUUAUUUAACUGGUCCAGUCCUGUAACCUGGGUGCUUGAGUCUCUGCCCUAGUAUCCUGGCCUAUCUGAAACUAGAAUCUUGCCUGACUCAUUUAACAAAAAUUUCCCCGUCAGUUUACAUUGUGAAAUGUUCAUGCAUAAAGAAAAGCUGAAGGAUUUUAGUGACUAUGUAUCUACCAUCCACCUAGACUUUGCUAUUAAUACCAUUCUUGUUUUUUUCAUCAUCCCUCUUCCCAUCUAUCAAUUCAUUUACAUUUUUGGAUGCAUUUAUGCUUUUUUUUCUUUUGAGAUAAGACUUAACAAUUAAUGCAACAUUCAGAUCUUUGUGGUUGUCAUUUGUUGAAUUUUGCUCACUGCCUACAUAGUGAAAGUGAAAGUUGCUCAGUCGUGUCUGACUCUCUGCGACUGCAUAGAAUUCUCCAGACCAGAAUACUGGAGUGGGUAGCCUUUCCCUUCUCCAGGGGAUCUUCCCAACCCAAGGAUCAAACCCAGGUCUCCCACAUUGCAGGUGGAUUCUUUACCAGAUGAGCCACAAGGGAAGCCCAAAAAUACUGGAGUGGGUAGCCUAUCCCUUCUCCAGGGGAUCUUCCCGACCCAGGAAUCAAACUAGGGUCUCCUGCAUUGCAGGCAGGUUCUUUACCAACUGUAACCCAGACUCCAACUUGUCAAGGUCAGCGCAUUGACAUACCGCAGAAAGUCCCCUCAUGCUCUUUCCCGUGGUUCCCAGCUGCUCCCUCCCCAGAGGUAACACUGAUCCGAUACUUUUUUAUAUUGUAGAGUUUUCUUUUUUGAUGGAUCCUUCUCUUCAUUCAGUAGUUUUUUUUUUGCCUGCUCUGGGAUUUCAAAUAAAUGGGAUCAUUCAGUAUGCACAGCAGCAGGACAUGUUCUUUUUGGUCUGACUUCUUUCAUUCAGCUUGGUGUUUUUGAGAGUCAUUCAAGUGUUCUGUAUAGCUCGAAUUUGUUUCUUUUUCUUGCUGAGAACUGUCACAUUGUGUGAACAUACUGCAUACCUUUGUGUAUCUGUCUCCCUGCUGAUGGAUAGUUUCCAGUUUUGGAAACAUAAAAGUUUCCAGUUUUUGGAUAUUAUCAGUAUGCACAGUCUUUCAUAGGUCUUUUGUAGAUGUGUUUAAUUUCAUUGGAUAAAUGCCUGGAAUGGAAUUUCUGGGCCAUAGGGCAGGUGUCUGUUUAGUCUUAACAAGAAAGUGCUAGCUACCACUCUACACCCUCCAACAAUACAUGAGGUCUAGUUGCUUCACUUCCUCCCCAAAGUUUGGUGUUAGUGAGUUUGUUACUCUUCUUGGUGCCUGUGCAGUGCUAUCUCUUGUGGUAUUAAUUAUUUGUAUCUCCUUGACAACUAGUGGUGUUGAAUAAUAAAUUUUUCCCUAUUCUCAAGUCAUAAAGAUGUGUAUUUUACCCUGAAUGCUUAUUGCAUUAACAUUGUCUGUAUAUUGGGAGGUAGUUGAGGUUUAUCUUUCUUGUAUGAGUGUCCAGUUGUUUCUAUACCAUUUGUUGAAAAGACUUUCCUUUCUCCUUUGCAUUGCUUUGGCACCCUUGUCGAAAGUCAAAUGAACAUUGGCCUCUGGCCAAGACGGUGUGACUGGCACCAGAUUUACCAGAGCUGUAAAACGCUAGGCACCUGGACAAGAUCUGGGAAACGAUGGUUCCCAUGUUGGACAAGAGGCAGCACAGCAAGGUCAGCCCUGUAUGAGGGGAGAUGAGGGAGGUGAGCCCACGACAGCUCCCACUGACCACCUGGAUGGUCUCCAAGCUGCAGCACAGGGAGGGCCCAGACAGAGCCUGGUGGUCUUCCUUAAUUGAGGAGUCAGAGGCGAGGGAAGGUGAAGGCAGCUAUAGUUUCCAAGGCAGAACGCCAAGGACGGAAAAGGGGCUCUGGGAGAUGCAGAGGGACCAGAGGUGGGGCUGCACUGGCCAGGCGUGGGGUAGCCUGCAUCAUCAGCGCAGAUCGGCUUUGGGUUUGUGGUUCCCCAGAGGCUGCACUGCUCUGCCCUCCAGCACUGGUUUGCUGGCGCUUGUGCCUCCUGUGAGGUCUGUGGUGUCGGGGUUUCCUUGGUGUCCCUCCUCCACUUGCUCCAUCAAGCCCCAGAGGUCUGCCUUGGGGUGGGGUGCCCUCUCUCCAAGACUGCUGCGGCUCCAUACCCUGUGUUAGGCUUGUAGGGGGAGGUGGGCACUCUCUGUCCCUCUGGUCCUUCCUCUGCGUUGGGCAGGUCUUCUGCUCAGCCACCGUCUCGUACCCAGGCAUCUGGUUACUCUAAACUGUGCUGAGGCCAAACUUAGGAGUUUAUUUAAUUGUAAACCAAUUAUCCUCCAAUUAAAAGUAGUAAUAAAACAGGAUUCAUUCAACGUUUCAGCUGCUUUCUGAGAAUGCCCUGCUUUCCGUGGCAGAUGUCUUCCCUCCACCAACAGUGAGCAGCAGCGUGUACUGUCCUUCCUCGGGGAUCUUGUCACUCUAGAAUUAUGUUCACCUCUUUGAUGGGCUCCAGAGAAGCUGUUGUAUCUUAGAGCCUCUGGCUUUUUCCUAUUGUUGGGGCAGAAGCUGAGCUCUCUCUCUCUAUGAGUAGGGUGGAGUCCUCCUUACUCAUUUUAACAAACUCUUAGCAAGAGCCUUGCUUGCCCGGCUGUGCUCGUGCAGAGGGGAGAAAGGCAUGGUCUCUGUUGUCUGCUCACGGAGGAUCUAGUGUAUUGGGUGAGUGUUGGUCCCAGCAGAAUGUGUUCCCUGCUGGCGUGAUGACAGUGUUGGAAACAGUAGAGGAGCCGGCACUGGGGCCUGUGGGGCUGUGUCAGUGCCAGCGUCUCUUGUCACGGCGGAGCAGCGGCUUCCAGGAGGGCAGAGGGGCCGAGCACGCCCUGGACAGGGAAGCACCCUGCCUGAAGGCACCAAGGGAUGUAAGGGCGUGGCUGUCCUUGGGGGCCUUGGCCCCGAGUCCCAGGUUUACUUACUGCAGAAGAUCCCUGACGGUCACUGCCUCAGAGACCAGGCCUCUCUCGGGUGCCACCCAGCUGUCUUGAUUUUCUACCAGACAGCACCUCACACAUGCGCGCAGGCAAGCGGGCCUCCCUGGGCUCCCGCUGCCCUCGUCACAGCCUGGUCCAUACUCCUGUGCUGUGCCAGCCCCACAUCCUUCUCAUCACCCCACCCGACUGCAUGCCUCUCAGGGGCAGUGAGGGUUUUCCCAUCUCUCCAUCCACAGUGCCCAGCCAGUGCCUGCCUUGGCACAAGCCCAGAAAGUGCCAGAUAAACUGGAAUCAAAUACCUUUCCUAUAUACCCUGUCAGGAUGAUUGGACCCCUCUCUGGCUCUUUGGGUCUGAAUGGUGCUCCUGCCAAAAAAGUGCAACGACUAGGGGGUUGACAUACAGAUUCUGGAGUCGUUUAUUUUCAGUUGAAGAGAGGAGAUCAUCUAAUCCAUCCACCUUCCUUCUGGGACCCAGGCCUAGUCUUUUUUGUUACCUUUUAGUGAGCUAAACUGUUCAUCCGUUCCCUCGCCCAGUGAUGCUCUAAUUGUGGCACUCACUGUGUAAAUCUGGAAUGAUCUCAGCUUCUACCUAGGAGGGUAAGGAAUUGCUUGCUCUGCAGCAUGGGUUCCAUUUGUGGUUCUGCAGAGAGCAGGUAACUUAGGCUUAAACUGAGGAAGCAGUGGAGACAAAUGUGACAAAUGUUUUCAAAUGUGACCUUCUUUCCCAUGGGAAAUAUUCUCAAAUGUGUUUGUAGAAACAAAGCCUUUUGCUUUCCUCUGUUCCUUGCCUCUUGCCAGUAGAAAAAUGUUGUAUUUUUCCAGAACAUAGCUCACUCUUGGGUACAUGGGAGAGAAAGAUAACUUGAGAUCGAAAAUACUACAAUUUUCGAACUAGAAGUUAAUUGUGGAGAAGUUUAGGUUAUCAGGUGAAAUGUAAAAGAUAGUUUCUCUGUGUAUGCACAGUUCAGUAAUUCCUCAGAUGUUUAUGAUAAGUAAAACAGCAGUUAUUUAUAGUGAGACUUUAUUGAUAGUUGUGGUUGCAGAGCUGAAUGAGAAAAGAGAUCUGGGCUGGGAAGGCAAGGAAAUGGUUCCAGAGAGGUGACAGCGAGGCGGGUUCCUGGAGGUGGAGGGAGUGCUGACGGAGGCCGGCCUUCUAGAGAACGAGCAGUGAGUGCUGGGGCGCUGGGCUCGCCGCUGCGUCAGGUUUAAUCUCCCAGCUGUAGCUAAAUGCCCAUUUUCUUUAUGUCUCCCACUCUGUGUCCUCUGUAUUUUCCCUUUAUUUUUAAAUGAAACCACCCCAUCACCUAAAACACGAACUGUUCCAGAUUACAGGUUCGUGUUAUUAUCUCCUUCCCUAUUUAAAAGGCUUCCCUGCUGGCUCAGGUGGUAAAGAAUCUGCCUGCAGUGUAGGAGACCCGGGUUCAAUCCCUGGGUCAGGAAGAUCCCCUGGAGAAGGAAAUGGCAACCCACUCCAGUAUUCCUGCCUGGAAAAUCCCAUGGACAGAGGAGCCUGGCAGGCUACAGUCCAUGGGGUCGCAGAGAGUUGGACAUGCCUGAGCACAAGUAUGUGUGCAGUGCUCAGGGACUUCAGACAGCUUCCAUUAAGUAGGUCCUGGAAAACUUCACAAGUAGUGAUCAGAGCAGAUCCAGCCUUGGAAGGGUCUGAGGUUAUACAAUUGCAUGGCUCUUCA